UCGGGCGCCCGCAGCAGGGACACUACAAAGACAGCGACCUCCUCCGCCGCCGCCGCCUUCUCCUCCUCCUCCCUGCGCCGCCCUCGCCGCUGUUGGGGCCGCUCAUCUAACCCCGCCACCCGCGGAGUGUGAGGAGGAGGCGGUGCCGCCGCCGCCGCUGCUGCUGCCACCACCGGAGUUGCCCGCAAUGGGAGGCGGCCGGCCGCACUGAGCAUGCGCGCCGCUCCGCACAUGCUCAGUAAUAGGACCCGUCUCUCCAGCCAGCCCCACCCCCUCCGCCGCGGCUCCCUCCGCCUCCGAGCUGUGGAUGUCCAGGGGCUGAGUGGUGCCAAAGCGACAAGCAAUCCGCUGCUCCGGGUUUUACGAGCAGCACGAGGAAGAGCCUGGACCGGGCUGGGGAAGCUGUCAGUGGAGGCGGUCUUCAGGUAACGUGGUUCCCUCCAGGUGAGAGAACCCAGACCUGACCGAAGGAGAUGCGUGUCAGCCUCAGGACUGACAGCUCUGCUGUGGCCUGUACCCAAGUCAGCGCUGCCAACGUGGAGUGAGUCCGGUGGGAUGCUACUUCUUGCUGGAGGAGAUUUCUGCAAUAGCUGAAGCCCGUGGGUGUCCCAUGGACUGUAGUCACCGCUUUUGCCCCCAGACACUGUGGUGAUGGCUAUCACUCCCAUGAUCUCCGGUUUUAUUUGUGUUAAGCUACAUUCCUAGAAGUGGAAACACCAAGAAAACAAGUCUUCUCUUCAAGACUUUAACACGAUGGAUAUUGCCCAGGAAAGAUGAUUUCUAGUUCAAACCCCAAGAACAAUUAUGAAAGUAUUUGUGUCAUAGUACUCUCACCAUGAUCAAAAUAAAGAUAAA
rnacentral:lncRNA from 1 species